rnacentral:rRNA from 1 species
UACGGGGGGGGCAAGCGUUGUUCGGAAUUACUGGGCGUAAAGGGCUCGUAGGUGGCCAACUAAGUCGGACGUGAAAUCCCUCAGCUUAACUGGGGAACUGCGUCCGAUACUGGAUGGCUCGAGUUUGGGAGAGGGAUGCGGAAUUCCAGGUGUAGCGGUGAAAUGCGUAGAUAUCGAGAGGAACACCAGUGGCGAAGGCGAGUCCCUGGACAAAACCUGACACUGAGGCACGAAAGCUAGGGGAGCAAACAGG